UACGUAGGGACCAAGCGUUGUUCGGAUUUACUGGGCGUAAAGGGCGCGUAGGUGGGUUGAUAAGUCAGUGGUGAAAUCCCCGAGCUUAACUUGGGAACUGCCAUUGAUACUAUUGAUCUUGAAUACCGUGGAGGUCAGCGGAAUAUGUCAUGUAGCGGUGAAAUGCUUAGAUAUGACAUAGAACACCAAUUGCGAAGGCAGCUGGCUACGCGAAUAUUGACACUGAUGCACGAAAGCGUGGGGAUCAAACAGG
rnacentral:rRNA from 1 species